AUGUGACCUGCCUAAAGUCACACAGCAGCGACUGCCAAUGUCAAGACUUAGGUAGGAACCUGGCAUCCAAAUUUCUUGAGAAGGAAGUGAGCGGCGUGGGGAGGAGGGAGGACCUUCUGUCCCUUCCCCAUGUCAAGCCCCAGGCAGCCACUUUGAACUCCCUGGGCCCAGCCCAGCAGCCAAGGGGCCCUGGGUGCCGCCUGUGGCUUCUCCAUGGAGCUCCUGCACGCUAGCUCCUGGGGCUGGGCUCCAAGGUCCCCUCUCCCUCUGCAGCUUUCCAAGGAUGACAGUAAGGAAACUGUCAGGGAGGAGAGCUUCCCCCGUCCAUGUGUUUUCGCUUCAGCGUACAACCAAGCUAUUUCCUGGCAUCUGGGUUCAAUCGCAGGCGGAGGGUGCGCUGGUGGCUGUGGGGGAGGAGGGAGAGGACAAGGCAAGGGCUGGGCUUCCUGGUCCCGCUGCGGAUGUGCCCAGAGCUACGACGUGCCCUUGCCCUCGCCCUCCCCGGUCACCGCAGCCAAGUCCAGGAGGACAGCGGCAUGGAGCGAGGCCAGCCCAUGAUGCGGACAGCUGGGUGGCGGGGGUGGGAAUAAGUACCGGGGACGCAGAGCUGGGCCAGGUCGGUCUGUGUGGGAUGAUCGCUGGGGACAGGCUGGUUCUGCAGCAGAGGGCUGGGUCCUGACCUAGCGUCUCCUGGGCAGAGACUCCUCUCAGGAAGGAGUGAACACUACCCAUCGGCCUUCGAGCCUCAGGAGAGCUGUGCUUGGGUCUCUCUGGGGACUGGGCAGCUGGUUCAGCAAGACCUGCACUCCCCCUGGGAAACUGCUGCAGGCUCAGAGCUGAGUCUGGGCUACCCCAGAGGGCAGCUGAGCCUAUGCCCCAGGUCUGUUCUCUCCCCACCAUAGCUGCCCCCCGGGUCCACAGAGCUCGGGGGUAAGGCCAGCUCACUCUGGGAGGCUGUGUCUGUCUUGCUUUACUGUAAAAACUUUGACCCAGUGACCCUGAACCACGGACCUUACCAGACCGUGCACACCUGGCCCUCCUCGUCCUGGAGUGGGCCCCCCAGGC
rnacentral:lncRNA from 1 species